UACGUAGGCAGCAAGCGUUGUUCGGAAUUACUGGGCGUAAAGAGUGUGUAGGCGGUGCUCUAAGUUCGGUGUGAAAUCUCCCGGCUUAACUGGGAGGGUGCGCCGGAAACUGGAGUGCUUGAGCGCGGGAGAGGGAAAGCGGAAUUCCUGGUGUAGCGGUGAAAUGCGUAGAUAUCAGGAGGAACACCUGUGGUGUAGACGGCUUUCUGGACCGUAGCUGACGCUGAGACACGAAAGCGUGGGUAGCAAACAGG
rnacentral:rRNA from 1 species